UCAGUAGGCGGCCAACUAAGUCCGACGUGAAAUCCCAAAGCUUAACUUUGGAACUGCGUCGGAUACUGGAUGGCUUGAAUUCGGGAGAGGGAUGCAGAAUUCCAGGUGUAGCGGUGAAAUGCGUAGAUAUCUGGAGGAAUACCGGUGGCGAAGGCGGCAUCCUGGACCGAGAUUGACGCUGAACGACGAAAGCUAGGGAGGCAAACG
rnacentral:rRNA from 1 species